ACGGCGAGUGAAGCGGCAACAGCUCAAAUUUGAAAUCCCKKYUUCGUGCCCGAGUUGUAAUUUGCAGAGGGUAUUUCGAGGGYGACGUCGGCCUAAGUCCCUUGGAACAGGGCGUCAUAGAGGGUGAGAAUCCCGUCUGCGGMCRACGAUCCAUCYCWUGUGAAAUCCCUUCGACGAGUCGAGUUGUUUGGGAAUGCAGCUCAAAAUGGGUGGUAAAUUUCAUCUAAAGCUAAAUACCGGCCAGAGACCGAUAGCGCACAAGUAGAGUGAUCGAAAGAUGAAAAGCACUUUGGAAAGAGAGUUAAAAAGUACGUGAAAUUGUUGAAAGGGAAACGCUUGCCAAUAGACCGAUCGGCGGGCUGCAGUUGGGGAUUAUCUUUCCCGGCGUGACGCACCCGUCAUUCGGCCAGYWUYKKUUUCGGUGGCUCGACAAASAUCGUGGGAACGUGGCUCCUCGGAGUGUUAUAGCCCACGAUGUCAUGGAGCCUACCGGGACCGAGGACCGCGCUUCGGCUAGGAUGCUGGCGUAAU
rnacentral:rRNA from 1 species